GGAAUUUGACAAGCAGAGUCAAGGAGACUUGGCUGUCCCUAGACGGCUAUAACGGUGCGUGAUGGCCCGGGCUUCGGGCGGCCGGGACAUCUCCUCCUGAGCCCGGGACCCCUCAAGCGACCGUCAGGCGUCAGCCCGGGACGGCAGAGUUGGGCGGAAGCCCCGCCCCGGCCGCCCAGCAGCCUGGUAGGCAGCGCCGGCCUCUUGUGAAGCUGGUUUCCUGCAAGUGAUGGUUCAUGACGAUAUCUACACCGGUGACUGCUGUGCUUUCAAGUGCCUUCGCCCUCUGUGCCUUCAGCGGAGGCAUUGCCACCAAUGAGCACAUCGUCAAUGGCACUCCCUGUUCUACUGACCAUCUCUAGGCAUGGCCCAUCUGUGAUCUCCUGGAUCUUGUAAAUGUUGGAGAACAUCUCAUCGUGGCUGAUGAGGUCCCAGUGAUGCCAGAUGUGGACUCCAUGUUGUGUCCCCUUCACAUUUGUGUGUUGAAGCCGAACCCCUGAAUGGCUGUAUUUGGAGAUGGAGUUGGUGAGGAGGUGAGGAAGGUUAAAUAAAGUCAGAGAAUGGGGCCUCUGUGCUGAGUGUGGUGUCGAAUGCCUGUAAUCCCAGCAUUCAGCUCUCAGGAGUGUGAGGCAGAAGGAUCGUUUUGAGUUCAAGACACAGUGGAAAGGUGCCCAGCUGCAAGCCAGGAAGAGAGCCCUGAGGAAGCGCUCAGUCUGCUGCUACCUUGACUUUGGACUUCUCAGGCCUCACAACUUCAAAAGUCCAUUUUCUUUGCUCAUGCCACUCAGUCCAUGUGGUUUGUUGGGAUAAUUCUAGAAGACUGAGGCAAUAUGUAGCAGUUAUUCUUUUGUUCCCUUUCACCUCUAUGUAUGUAAAAUUUUGCUUUACUUCUAAGCUAAUGCACUAUCUUAUUGCUGA